rnacentral:lncRNA from 1 species
UUGAAUUAACUAUGCUUGGGAAGUUAGUAUUGAAGGUUCCGAGGCCGAGAAAAUGGUAGGUUCCUCCUAGAAUUUAAGCCAUAAAAUUUCUCCUCUUCAAGUUUCCCACUUACCUCAAAAAAUUCGAAAAUUCCGUCCCUAAAAUUCCCCCCAAAGUAUAAUUUAUCCAUCAAAAUAUCAAUUUCAUAGUCGUUUACACACCCACCGUGAAAACCCUAAAACUAGUUCGAGUGUUCGCAUAUAUCGUCAUCAUCAGAUUGCAUACACCUGGUAUGGCAUAUGCAGCGGAUGUUAACAUGGGUAUCUGGGGGGCUCAUGGCUCCAUUAAAGGAUUUUGGACUUUUGGGUACAGAUGUCUUGUGGUUUUAGAAGUUAUUAAAUUUUGAUUUUUGGUGUAUU